rnacentral:hammerhead_ribozyme from 1 species
GCACUGCUGAGGAGUCCCAUACCAUGACGAAACGACCGUCCAGUGC